CUGAUAAAGAUAAAUGAAUGAAUUUCUAACACUAGGCAAUCGUCAGGGCGAGUCUCGCGACGCGCCGUUUAACAACAUAACGAGGGCGACCACCGGCAGUGUCCUUUCAAGAAGAACCGACCCGACCUUUGCCGGAGAAACUAGAGGUAAUACAGUUGGACCCAGAUCAGCCUGACUUCACGAUCAGACAACGGACUGGCGUGAAAGCAGGUGGUUGAAGCUCGGAGAGCUAGGUUACUCCAUUCCAUCACUAUGAGGGACAGAAGAGGAGCACUUCAAUACACCAGGCGCCAAGAGAGCUCAUGACAAUAAAUUCCGCUGACAUCCGAAGCCUCGCUGUAGUCCAUAUGGCCAUCCCACAGAAAGUGACACACCAUAUGAUGUUGUCGACCUAAGAAUUUUGAGACUGGGGCACCUCAGGUUUUCUGUAGGAGGCGCAAAGUCUGUCUUAGCAGGCCAGACGAGUCGUGGGGACUUACUGGUUGAAGAGGAAGAAUCAGACUUUUGGGAACUGAGCCUUAAAGUCAAGCAACUUUCCAAAUUACAAAAGAGGACCUGGAAGAUGAGAAGGAUGGUUUCCAAUAAGGCUGCAGAGGGAAUGGCCAUGACCUCCACCUACAAGUGCAAAAGUCCCUCAUGCAGAACUGCUGACACACCUCCAGGCUCCUUUUCCUCCCGUUCUCCUUCACUUAUCUCGCCCCGCAGAUCCACACGUUUGGAUCUGGAUUUGCCUCCAGAGCGUCUGAAAUCUGAGCAUUCGGUGGAGGAGCAAAACGCAUCAAGGCAGAAUCUCCUCCCAGAGCUCAACCCAUAACCGCGACCCCAGACCGAGACCAACAAUUUAAUCCAGCACGAGGUCCUGUGAAUUUAAGACCAUGAGCCACCCCAAAUGCCAUGAAACCAGAGCCUAGACACCUGCUUUGGCACCAGAAUUUCAUUGUCAUUGUGCCAUUCCGUGGGUUUGCUGAACACUCCAGACAACGACCCGCAAACCAGAGCUCUUAUUCUGCAGAACCAAAGAAAAAAAAAAAUCCUUGGACUGGAAGUCAUUUUAAUUUUCUCUGCCAUCACCUGUUAUUUUUCACAUUCUUUUUUUCUUAAAGCCACAAAAAUGAUAAACUAAAAAAGAAUCCAGACAUCUGG
ensembl:lncRNA